GAUGAACGCUAGCUACAGGCUUAACACAUGUAAGUCGAGGGGAAACGAUAUUGGAAGCUUGCUUCCGAUAGGCGUCGACCGGCGCACGGGUGAGUAACGCGUAUCCAACCUGCCCACCACUUGGGGAUAACCUUGCGAAAGUAAGGCUAAUACCCAAUGAUAUCUCAAGAAGACAUCUGAAAGGGAUUAAAGAUUUAUCGGUGAUGGAUGGGGAUGCGUCUGAUUAGCUUGUUGGCGGGGUAACGGCCCACCAAGGCGACGAUCAGUAGGGGUUCUGGGAGGGAGGUCACCAACAUGGGAAAUGAGACACGGUCCAAACUCCUACGGGAGGCAGCAGUGAGGAAUAUUGGUCAAUGGGCGAGAGCCUGAACCAGCCAAGUAGCGUGCAGGAUGACGGCCCUAUGGGUUGUAAACUGCUUUUAUAAGGGAAUAAAGUGAGCCUCGUGAGGCUUUUUGCAUGUACCUUAUGAAUAAGGACCGGCUAAUUCCGUGCCAGCCGCCGCCGUAA
rnacentral:rRNA from 1 species